rnacentral:rRNA from 1 species
AGAGACAGCAGCCGCCGCGGUAAUACGUAGGUGGCAAGCGUUGUCCGGAAUUAUUGGGCGUAAAGCGCGCGCAGGCGGAUAGGUCAGUCUGUCUUAAAAGUUCGGGGCUUAACCCCGUGAUGGGAUGGAAACUGCCAAUCUAGAGUAUCGGAGAGGAAAGUGGAAUUCCUAGUGUAGCGGUGAAAUGCGUAGAUAUUAGGAAGAACACCAGUGGCGAAGGCGACUUUCUGGACGAAAACUGACGCUGAGGCGCGAAAGCCAGGGGAGCGAACGGGAUUAGAUACCCCUGUAGUCCCUGUCUCUUAUACA